UAGAUCGUGCAGACAUUACAAGACCGAGAAAAGUAAAGCUCUUCAAUUCGGGCAUUCAUCAACGAUAAACUUGUACGGCUGACAGCAAGAAGAAGCGCUCACGAGAAUCAUGUCCAACUUGGCUAUCUUUGGGUUAUUGCUUGGUUUGGCUUUGUUUUGUGGAGAAUACAAGGCCGAGACCUGUACAAGUGUAGCUGAUUGCUCGAACACGAUGUGUAACCCUGGUUGGGAAGUCAUUUGUACAACAACGGUACCCAGAACGUGCACGUGUAGUUCGAUUGUAUAUAGUUGCACAGUUAAAGCGGACUGCGAGUACCUGUAUACUAAUGGUUCUUUGACCGAUUGUAUUUCCGCCGGCCACGCCCACUGCUACGACGCCAAAUGCAUUUGUACACAUUUCUAAUUUCGUUUGAAAUAUUCAUUGUUUCGAAUGGAGUCUUUAUUUACCA